rnacentral:rRNA from 1 species
GAUGAACGCUGGCGGCGUGCCUAAUACAUGCAAGUCGAGCGAACGGACGAGAAGCUUGCUUUUCUGAUGUUAGCGGCGGACGGGUGAGUAACACGUGGAUAACCUACCUAUAAGACUGGGAUAACUUCGGGAAACCGGAGCUAAUACCGGAUAAUCUUUUGAACCGCAUGGUUCAAAAGUGAAAGACGGUCUUGCUGUCACUUAUAGAUGGAUCCGCGCUGCAUUAGCUAGUUGGUAAGGUAACGGCUUACCAAGGCAACGAUGCAUAGCCGACCUGAGAGGGGGAUCGGCCACACUGGAACUGGGACACGGUCCAGACGCCUACGGGAGGCAGCAGUAGGGAAUCUGCCGCAAUGGGCGAAAGCCUGACGGAGCAACGCCGCGUGAGUGAUGAAGGUCUUCGGAUCGUAAAACUCUGUUAUUAGGGAAGAACAUAUGUGUAAGUAACUGUGCACAUCUUGACGGUACCUAAUCAGAAAGCCACGGCUAACUACGUG